AUGGUGCUUGCACUAUCACUUAACGGCGGACGGGUGAGUAAUGCUUAGGAAUCUGCCUAUUAGUGGGGGACAACAUUUCGAAAGGAAUGCUAAUACCGCAUACGUCCUACGGGAGAAAGCAGGGGAUCUUCGGACCUUGCGCUAAUAGAUGAGCCUAAGUCGGAUUAGCUAGUUGGUGGGGUAAAGGCCUACCAAGGCGACGAUCUGUAGCGGGUCUGAGAGGAUGAUCCGCCACACUGGGACUGAGACACGGCCCAGACUCCUACGGGAGGCAGCAGUGGGGAAUAUUGGACAAUGGGCGCAAGCCUGAUCCAGCCAUGCCGCGUGUGUGAAGAAGGCCUUAUGGUUGUAAAGCACUUUAAGCGAGGAGGAGGCUACUUUAGAUAAUACCUAGAGAUAGUGGACGUUACUCGCAGAAUAAGCACCGGCUAACUCUGUGCCAGCAGCCGCGGUAAUACAGAGGGUGCAAGCGUUAAUCGGAUUUACUGGGCGUAAAGCGCGCGUAGGCGGCUAAUUAAGUCAAAUGUGAAAUCCCCGAGCUUAACUUGGGAAUUGCAUUCGAUACUGGUUAGCUAGAGUGUGGGAGAGGAUGGUAGAAUUCCAGGUGUAGCGGUGAAAUGCGUAGAGAUCUGGAGGAAUACCGAUGGCGAAGGCAGCCAUCUGGCCUAACACUGACGCUGAGGUGCGAAAGCAUGGGGAGCAAACAGGAUUAGAUACCCUGGUAGUCCAUGCCGUAAACGAUGUCUACUAGCCGUUGGGGCCUUUGAGGCUUUAGUGGCGCAGCUAACGCGAUAAGUAGACCGCCUGGGGAGUACGGUCGCAAGACUAAAACUCAGAUGAAUUGACGGGGGCCCGCACAAGCGGUGGAGCAUGUGGUUUAAUUCGAUGCAACGCGAAGAACCUUACCUGGCCUUGACAUAGUAAGAACUUUCCAGAGAUGGAUUGGUGCCUUCGGGAACUUACAUACAGGUGCUGCAUGGCUGUCGUCAGCUCGUGUCG
rnacentral:rRNA from 1 species